UUUUAGCCCCGAUUGCAGUGGAAAUCCUUUUUUGUCCCGGCUUCAGACGAGAUGAAAAAGAUUGAAACGUAAAGCGGGUGCGAAA
rnacentral:sRNA from 1 species